rnacentral:lncRNA from 1 species
CGUGAUGAGCGCCUGUGCCAUCAAAGGGCACCCCUUUUCAUGCGCCGAACUGAUGAGACAGCCAGACACCUUGUCAUGUCACCAAUUAAUGAAGGGAAAUGUUAUUUCCCAAAUUUAAAUAAACAAGUUACUGAGGAUAAGAAGUCUGUUUGGAUUCAUCCAAAAAUCUGGGGAUUGAACCGACCACCGAGCAUGGUAUGCUCGGGGACUGGUCGACUAGCCUACCCAAAUGAAAUAUGGGGAUUGCGCCGACCACCGAGCAUGGUAUGCUCAAGGACUGAUCGACCAGCGUGCCCAAAUAAAAUCUGGGGACUGCACCGACCACUAAGCAUGGUAUGCUCGGGGACUGGUUGACUAGCCCGCUCAAAUGAAAUCUGGGGACCACAGAGCACGGUAUGCUCGGGGACUGGUCGAUUCGUCUGUGUACGAGGUAGCGGUUUACGCUGAUUACUCAUUAUGUUUGACUCAACUUUACAUACAAUUGAGAGGUGAUAUUUUUAUUAUUUUUUAAACCUUGUUACAAGGCUUAUACUCUGCCUUACAACAAGCUCGGGGACUACAUCGGUACGAUGCAUCUUACGAUAGAUCUCAGCAUCAGAUUUUUCUUUUAAGACUUUUUUUCUUUUUAGACCCUGGCGCCACGUGCCUGUGUCACAUACUACCAGGCUCAGGGACUAAGUGGGCACACUUCACCUUGCGGUGAAUUUACCUGCUUUUUGAAGACUUUCACUAUUCAAAAAAGUAAAGUAGGCACACUUCACCAGAAAAGAAAUCUUUUUGGUUAAGAGCACCAUGCAUUAUUCGAACAACCUGCUUCUUCGGUGUUGAUCAACUGUCUUUUGAGUUGGUCAAAAUGUCAUUGCAUCUAUUUGGGCGACUUUCAUGCUGAUCAAAGAUUUCAAGUCUCACUGGUCGAAGAAGCUCAAGACAGUGUGUUACAUCAUAAUACAUGGAGCUCGGGGACUAGCUGUGGGGUUAUAAACCCCUAUUCCCUUACGGCUAGACUUGGGCCAGGAGAUUUGGCCCAUUACGAGAUAGCUCGAGGCUUGAUCCAACUGCCUGAAGUUUCGCACAAGGAAACAAGACAUGGAGAUCAAGCAGGACUCUAGUCGGUUAGAAUAGGAAUUGAUAUUGCAUCAUCUAUGGCAAUUGUAACCGACUAGGAUUAGUUUCCAGAUCUGUAACCCUGCCCUCUAGACUAU